CUUUAUUUCCGAUGCAGAAAACCAGUAGUGGAUAAUAAUCGGAGGGCUUAUCAAGGAGAGUGAUGUUCUUAGCAACAUCUCUCACCUGGGCACCAGGCAGGCAACACACCUCCCUGUGGGACGGAUCUGAGAGGCAUAUCAGGCCCUCGGUUCCCCUCAGAAGGGAGUCCCCUAUGAUGACAGCGCUUCUUUUCAUCCUGACUGACGGUGGAGCAAAACGGGGAGCAGACUGACUAGCCUUGGGCAACCGCUCCUGCACGGAUGGACUUUCACCAACAUCCACUUCCCCCAGUCCCUCCAGCUCCAGAGCCGCAUACCUGUUACAGAAGGGCACCUUGGGAAGGUGGGGCAGGCUGAGGGGCCAGCAACUUGUCACUCCAAACAGGGACUUGUUUCCACCCAUCGCUGUCUCUGAAGUCACCCCUUCCCUCAUGAUUGUGAGACAGCAGAUGAUUCCCCACUGCCUCAGGAGCAUCUCCCCCACACCCUUCGUGUAGGGAUGGCCGAGCACAACUCCACCCAUCAAUCCCCUUCCCACAAUCCCUGAUGCUCCUCAGCCUUUCUACCUCCUCCUUCAGCUCUUCCACCAGGCUGAGCAGAUCCCCCACCUGCUCACAGCGCACACAAGUGGUAUCCCGGCUGCUGUCCUGUAGCACUGGCAGGGCCGGGCAUUCUCCACAGCCUGAGACCUCAACCGCGGCACAGACAUUCAUGCUUUCAGUCUGAGCCUCCACGUUCUUUGUAACAGCAGCUCGCCUCCGUGUGGUGACCAUGGUUGCACCUCGGUGUGCCCGGAGACCAACGACCUGUUACAUGACCUGUUCAGUGCUAAGGGCUAAGCGCUGAGCUCCCUCCUAUUUGGCAAGGUGCCCCGCCCUGCCUGCUCGCUGAGUCGCUCGAGGUUGGCCCUGAAAAUCACUCUCUUCACAGCAAGAUAACAACCCGCCUCCCUGCGCAGGAGCGCGAAUGGGCGGCUUACCGUUUCACAUCUUCUGAACGACCGACGUGAUUCGCUAACCCUGACUCCUCCUCUCCGCCCCGAGGCUGUUUCUAGGCAGGGGGCCGCGGGUGCAGAGCCGUUCCCUGGCAAUGCCCGCUUCGCGUCAGCCGCUCUCGCGAAAGCUGCCGGGCCGCUCCGUGAUCUCGCGGUUCCCCGGAUGAAGGAACGGGCCGAGGCCCGCCCGUACCUCGCGGUCAGUCGGUGACGUUCUGGCUGGGAACGCUCCGAUGCCGCGAACCUCGGCGAUCAAGCAGAAUAGCAGAUCGUGCUUCUGUAUUUAAGGCUGCUAGGCUGAAAGUGCUGCCGAUGGGAAAUUAAAAUGGAGCUGAAGCUGAAGUUAGAAGAAAAGCACAGUGUAUCCGGCGGCUAUUAUUCAGGGUCUUUCAUGAAACUCGUGUCCAAGGAGGCUUCCAAAACCUUCCGUCUACUGCCCUGUCGGUUUCCUGCUUUGUCAUAGUGGCACAGGGAGGAAUUCUCUGAGCUUCGCCCCUCUGCCUUGACAAGGUGCGAAUCUGAGAAAUCCACCAGGGCGUCCAUCAGGACACGCUGGGAAUCCUAAGGUCGAUGCGGGGGAAAGGCAUUGUGACAUCACAGAGCAGGGCAUGACAUCAGACUUGGUCAAGUCACGCCGGCAGCCUCCCCCAGCUCAGACACUUGGAGCAACAGCUCCGUCCUGGUGGUCACUGCUGGAGCUCUGCUCUGCGUGACAGCCAUUUGUGUGUAGAGAUUGUUCUUUGGGAGAGAUCAGGAUGAAGCUCAGCCUGACUCUCUUCCUGGCCAUGGCUCUGAGCAUGUCUCCAUUUGCGGGACGUGGCCCAGGCUGUCCCAGCUAUCUCAGCUGGGUCUGUAGUUGCGACCAAAAGGUCCUUCCUGAGGAGGAGCAUCGGGUGGAGACCAACAGCCAGACCUCCACCUGGCGCUGCAGGCUAGGCCUAAACUCCUGCCCGGUCAGGAUCGAGGACAGAAAGAACAACCCAGUCCUUCCUGAGAAGCAACCUGUGGAGGAGACCAAGAGCCAGACCUCCACCCGGCGCUGCUGGUUUGGCUUAACCUCCUGCCCCAUCAGGACCAAGGACACGAACACAAACCAGGUCCUUCCAGAGGAGCAGCCUACAGAGAAAACCAAGAGCCAAACCUCAUACUGGUCCUGCUUGCUUGGCUCUUCCCAGUGUCCCAUAUGGGUCUGGUACAAGGGCAGCAAAGUUGCUGUUCCACAAGGCCCAAAGCAGCAGUCCCCGGGCACCAAGCAGAAGGCCUACAGCUUGCCUGGCAUCCUGGGCCACCUUUGGGACUACCUUAUGCAAAGCGGGAGAACCUGGCUCCUUACAGCUCCCUUGACAAUUUUCUCCAUUUUCUGGCUGCUGACAACUGCCCGUGCCCACUGGAGAAGAUUAAGAAGACCUCGGGGACAGGGAGCGGGACAAGCGGACCCAGCUUCCUUAGGAACAGAGGAAACGGACAACGUAAAUGCUCUCGACCUGCUCUGCCAGAUGGACGCCUACAUAACCCUAAUGGAGAGACUUAUGACGAUCCUCAUGCAGCACCACGUGAAAAAUGUCAGGAGCCAGCAGUGCAGGAAGACGGUGCACAGCACGGGGGACAGGAAAAGCCCCUCCACAGACUCCUGAGGGAGCUGGCAGAGGUGACUGCCAAGCCGCUCUCGGCUGUUUACCAACAACCACAAGAGACCCCCACCACCCCAAGAGCGUGGUACAACAUGUUAGUAAUUUCUCAGGAUUCCAGCCGGUUUUCUUGGAAUGUAACAAAUAUGUCUAUGUUAUGUCUUUAAAUUUAUAACCACUGCUGUUCUCGGUGUGUGAGUAAGGAGGUGAUAUCCCCCUCGCACACGGUGCCACAAUAAACAUACCUACUUUAAAAUCUUACAUGGGUUGUGGACUUUGAUUCUGCACGUUACCAGUACGCCAAGGUGGUGAGCCUGCAAGCUUGCUGGAGGCACUGAGCAGCAGCAGGUCAACCUGGACGAUGCUGAA
rnacentral:lncRNA from 1 species